GACGAACGCUGGCGGCGUGCUUAACACAUGCAAGUCGAACGAAGUGGCGCACGGGUGAGUAACGCGUAAUCAACCUGCCCUUCAGAGGGGGACAACAGUUGGAAACGACUGCUAAUACCGCAUACUGAAGGAGGGGAUUGCGUCUGAUUGGCUGGUUGGAGGGGGAACGGCCCACAAGGGCGAUGAGCAGUAGCCGGUCUGAGAGGAUGAACGGCCACACUGGAACUGAGACACGGUCCAGACUCCUACGGGAGGCAGCAGUAGGGAAUCUUCCGCAAUGGGCGAAAGCCUGACGGAGCAACGCCGCGUGAGUGAUGAAGGUCUUCGGAUCGUAAAACUCUGUUAUUAGGGAAGCGGUACCGAAGCAGAAAGCCACGGCUAACUACGUGCCAGCAGCCGCGGUAAUU
rnacentral:rRNA from 1 species